UCGUCCCGCCUCUUUUUCAUUCUCCAUCGUUCUUCAAUUCAUCAAUCUUCCCGCCGGAUUCUCUCUACGACUAUGUCUUCCUCACUUCAGUCCCCUUUUCCGGCCGUCAGAACCGUCACCAUAUCGUACUUAGAGCUACAAGAUCGGACUGUUGACUUGUCGGCGAAGAUUGAAGAAGGAUUCGGACCGAAGGGGCUGGGAAUUCUAUCGGUUUCUGAUGUCCCUGGAUUUCCCUCCUUGCGGCAGGACCUUCUACGUCUUUCAUCGAGAUUAGCUAGGUUACCAGAAGAUGCGAAGAAGGAGCUGGAAGACCCGGAUAGUAGGUAUAAUUUUGGAUGGAGCCAUGGGAAAGAGAAACUUGAAUCCGGGAAGCCUGAUUUGCUGAAAGGCUCAUUCUAUGCCAAUCCAAUAUUGGAUAGCCCAACAACGGAUGCAUCUUUAAUUCAAAGGUAUCCAUCAUACUGUGGUUCAAAUAUUUGGCCUACUAAAGAACUCCCAGAACUUGAAUUAGCCUUCAAAGCUCUUGGAAAGCUGAUUCUUGAUGUUGGUUUGAUGUUGGCAUAUCAUUGCGACCAAUAUGCUGCUAAAAUGAUGAAACUGCAUGAGGAUGAAACCCUUGAAAAGAUACUUCUCAACUCCCGGUGUCAUAAAGGGCGUUUGCUUUAUUAUUUUCCAGCAAACCAGAGCACUUCUGAUGAAGAUAAUGAUAAUCUAUCCUCUUGGUGUGGAUGGCAUACAGAUCAUGGUUCACUAACAGGUCUAACCUGUGCAAUGUUUACAAGAGAUGGUGGGGAGAUACCUUGCCCUGAUAGUGCUGCUGGCCUUUAUGUUAGGACAAGAGCUGAUGAAAUUGUUAAAGUUUAUUAUGGAGAAAAUGAAAUCGCAUAUCAGAUUGGCGAAACUACAGAGAUUUUGUCCAGUGGCUAUUUGUGUGCAACACCACAUUGUGUUCGGGCACCUAAAGGGAAGGAAGCUUUUAAUCUUGAACGCUCCACAUUUGCACUUUUCAUGCAACCCGAUUGGGAUCAAAAGCUCAAUUUUCCAGACGAGGAUCAUAUUCAUAAAGAGAUCAUUCCCUCAAAUUGUGCUUUGACAUUCGGAGAGUACUCCGAGAAAUUGCUCGACAAAUAUUACCAUAGCAAAUCAUAGAUAGGAGCUUCAAAUCUUGUGUGACCCUUUUCAACCGCUGGUAUUCUAAAGUUAUGGCGGCACUCACAAGCCGACAGUGGCCGAAAUUCCACGUGGGUUUAAUAAAGUCAAGUGCCACGUAGGACGAUAGCGAAAGGCUUCUAACAUGGGGCCCACGCUCUACGUUACCUUCCUACAUGGUUCCUCUCCUUUUAUUCCUUUUGACCACACUUUUUGUUUCUCCUUUUGACCAAAAUACCCCUUUCCUUUCUAUCCAUUAGAAAAUAUUUUUCUUUUUUAUUUUUUAUAUUAAAUUAGGGAUUUUUUAAAAAAAACAUUUUUCAUGUUUGAGGACUUAGAAAUUAGCAUAAGACUCUUGAUAUUGACGUUAAUUAAAGAAGUGAUAUUAUAAGAAUUUAAAAUAA